rnacentral:rRNA from 1 species
GCGGUUACCACGGAGUGGUCAAUGACUGGGGUGAAGUCGUAACAAGGUAGCCCUAGGGGAACCUGGGGCUGGAUCACCUCCUUAAACGAUA